UACAAAUCCACAAUAACGGAGUACGGUACAACUCGCUUUCUACGACAUCCACCAAUAUUUUUACCACACAUGUGGAACGUUUACAAUGUCACAAAAGAAGGCUAUGGUCGGAUCAACAAUGUGUCAGAAGGGUUCAACAAAAAAUUAAAAAAUAUUGUAAGAAUUAAACAUCCUAAUUUAUAUAUAUUUAUCGAAUCAAUACAGAUGUGCAAUGCGUCUGCAACGACUGCAUUGAUACAAAAACAAAAUAAAAACAAAAUGAAAUAAUAAAUGUACCGAAAAUACUUAGUUUUAAGGAAAAGAAACUACAGUAAUUAGUAAUUACUAAUUUUGUACAACAUUUAAAUAUAAUAACCAUAGUGACAUUUUAUAUUAUUUAAAAAAAAAAUAAGUCAGUUGACCUAAAAAUGUAUUCAUUUAUUCAUUUUUACGAAAUUCAAUAUGACUUAAUAUAAUUGUGAUUUAUUUAAAUUUUGACUAUUUGUAAUUAUAUUGUGUGAAUAUUGAUACUUAUCAAAAUAUGGUGGGAAGCAAACGUCCUAUGUCUAAUAACUCUCCGGGAUGAAAUGUCCUAUCUUAAAAAUUGCCGGAGACGAAACGUCCAGGGACUGGUUUUUUUGACGGGGACGAAAUGGCGGGGGCGAAACGUCCGCGAUUCAGUAUAUGAAUUGCGUCCGGUUUUAUUUGAUUUUGUCAAAUUUGAGUCUGAUUUUGAAAAAUCAAUCCACUCAUCAUUAUUAAUCAUAUGGCCGCAUCAGUUCAAAUGAAAAAAAUGCAGUUUUCAUUUAAGUCAAAUUUGACGGAAGAAAAUUCAAACGGUUGGUUUAAGUGAAGAAUUAAAAACAAAUUCAGGUAUAAUACCUACCUAAGUAUUUUCUUAAAAUAUUUUUUUGGUCUCCCAUUUUUAAAAUCAGAUUAAGUGAAGGAUUGCUUUACACAUUUUCAUUUUACUUACUUCUAAUUGUAAAACAACAAUAGAAAUCAGCGAUAUUUUUAACUUAUCGAUAGUAAUAAUUUUCAGCUACUGACAGUUAAAUCUGUAUGAAAUGGGAAACGCGAAGGAAAGAGUUUUUACGUUAGGAC